CCUACGGGUGGCUGCAGUGGGGAAUAUUGGGCAAUGGGCGCAAGCCUGACCCAGCAACGCCGCGUGUAUGAAGACGGCCUUCGGGUUGUAAAGUACUUUCAGCGGGGAGGAAGGGAGUACAGUUAAUACCUUUGCUCAUAGACGUUACCCGCAGAAGACCCACCGGCUAAAUCCGUGCAAGCAGCCGCGGUGAUACGGAGGGUGCAAGCGUGAAUCGGAAUUACUGGGCGUAAAGCGCACGCAGGCAGUUUUUUAAGUCAGAUGUUAAAUCCCCGGGGUCAACCUGGGAACUGCAGCUGAUACUGGCAAGCUUGAGUGUCGUAGAGGGGGGCAGAA
rnacentral:rRNA from 1 species